rnacentral:rRNA from 1 species
GACAGAGGGUGCAAACGUUGUUCGGAAUUACUGGGCGUAAAGCGCGUGUAGGCGGCUAUGUAAGUCGGGCGUGAAAUCCCACGGCUCAACCGUGGAAGUGCACCCGAAACUGCGUAGCUAGAGUCCUGGAGAGGAAGGUGGAAUGCUUGGUGUAGAGGUGAAAUUCGUAGAUAUCAAGCGGAACACCGGUGGCGAAGGCGGCCUUCUGGACGA